CAAUUGCAUGCGGGAAGAAGCAGUACCGUAAGGAGCUGUGGACUGCAUGGAAGAGAGAAUGCCGGAAUGAGUAGCGAGAAUAAGGUGGGAAUCCUAUGGCCGAAUAUCCAAGGUUUCCAGAGUAAAGCUGAUCUGCUCUGGGUAAGUCGGGGCCUAAGGCGAGGACGAGAGUCGUAGCCGAUGGACAACAGGUGGAGAUUCCUGUACUGCGGUAUGACAGAACUGUGGGGACACGUAAGGAAAGCGGAAGCCGGGAAUGGAAAGCCCGGUGCAAGCGGGGUACCAGUCACUUUGGCAAAUCCGGGUGGCAAUGGGAAGCCGUGAUGCGGAGCGAAAUAAAGUAGCGAAGUCCGUGAGCCAUGCGUCAAGAAAAGCCGUUAUCGUUUAUACCGUACCCGUACCGUAAACCGACACAGGUGGAUGAGGAGAGAAUCCUAAGGCCGGCGGAAGAAGCAUUGUCAAGGAACUCGGCAAAAUGGCCCCGUAACUUAGGGAUAAGGGGUGCCUGGGAAACCAGGCCGCAGAGAAUAGGCUCAAGCAACUGUUUAGCAAAAACACAGGUCUAUGCAAAACCGUAAGGUGAAGUAUAUGGGCUGACGCCUGCCCGGUGCUGGAAGGUUAAGGGGAGAGGUUAGCGCAAGCGAAGCUUUGAACUUAAGCCCCAGUAAACGGCGGCCGUAACUAUAACGGUCCUAAGGUAGCGAAAUUCCUUGUCGGGUAAGUUCCGACCCGCACGAAAGGCGUAAUGAUUUGGGCACUGUCUCAACAAUGCACCCGGUGAAAUUGAAAUACCAGUGAAGAUGCUGGUUACCUGCGCCAGGACGGAAAGACCCCAUGGAGCUUUACUCCAGCUUGAUACUGGGAUUCGAUAUUGUAUGUACAGGAUAGGUGGGAGGCGAAGAAGCAUUGACGCCAGUUGAUGCGGAGCCGCUGUUGGGAUACCACCCUUGCAGUAUUGGAUUUCUAACCAGCAGCCGUGACCCGGCUGGGGGACAAUGUCAGGUGGGGAGUUUGACUGGGGCGGUCGCCUCCGAAAGGGUAUCGGAGGCGCUCAAAGGUUCCCUCAGAAUGGUUGGAAACCAUUCGAAGAGUGCAAAGGCAGAAGGGAGCUUGACUGCGACACCGACGGGUGGAGCAGGUACGAAAGUAGGACUUAGUGAUCCGGUGGUAUAAAGUGGGAUUGCCAUCGCUCAACGGAUAAAAGCUACCCUGGGAUAACAGGCUUAUCACUCCCAAGAGUUCACAUCGACGGAGUGGUUUGGCACCUCGAUGUCGGCUCAUCGCAUCCUGGGGCUGAAGUAGGUCCCAAGGGUUGGGCUGUUCGCCCAUUAAAGCGGUACGCGAGCUGGGUUCAGAACGUCGUGAGACAGUUCGGUCCCUAUCCGGCGUGGGCGUAGGAUAUUUGAGAGGAGCUGGCCUUAGUACGAGAGGACCGGGCUGGACUGACCGCUGGUGUAUCUGUUGUUCCGCCAGGAGCAUGGCAGAGUAGCCAAGUCAGGAAGGGAUAAACGCUGAAGGCAUCUAAGCGUGAAGCCCCCCUCAAGAUGAGAUAUCCCAACGCAAGUUGUAAGACCCCUUGAAGACGACAAGGUAGAUAGGGCAGAGGUGGAAGUGCAGUAAUGCAUGGAGCUGACUGUUACUAAUCGGUCGAGGGCAUAACCG
rnacentral:rRNA from 1 species